CAUUAUGGACAAGUAUUGGUACUUUCUUAUGAAUGGGAUUGUAUUUGAGGAGCAAUGUACUUUUGUUGCUCAAAUCUUCUUCUACAUACUCAAAAGGUAUGCCUUUGACUUUGAGAGCCAGUUGUACUCUGUUCACAUAGGGGCUAAUCCACAUUCCAUGUAGAGUGACCUUAUUUUCCUCUCCCAUUUUGGUCUCUCAGAUUGUUUCAGAGAAUUAAUUUACAUGUUUAAGUUUGUCAUAUAUAAAUUUCCUCAAACACUUCCUCCGACUCAGUCAUCCAAGGCUGGGCAAUUCUUUAGAAAUUUUUUAGUUUCACAAUAAGCGGAGACCAGAACUGUCUGUAGUCAAAUUUGACCAGAAUAUUUUAAAAGAAUUGACGUAUGUGAUAGGAGUAAUAUAAUAUGUUCUCUGCAUUUUUGACCUGCGAGCCGAUACUGAAUUAUGAUGAUAGCAAUGACCUCAGCUUCCCAUUUCUUGGGGCCAAAGUUUGCCAUAGUCUCCCUCCCCCCCUCCCCCCCCAUUUUUUUUCUUCUGGGGACGUGGAGAAUGGAGAUGGAGCUAGUUGACGGCAAAGUUACAGCGUUUCAAUUGAAUUUUUUUCGAAGAAAAUUACUCCUACAUCACUUUUACGUAAGACAAAAAUUCUCAAGUAUACAUUCAAAUUGUUGAAUUCCAUCGACAUGAGAAACUUUUAGUGAAAUGAUAAAUUACUUUAGGUUGUUGGUUUGAAUCUCAAGUCACACUCCAUCAUUUUCUGAAUCUCCUGGUUAGUGGCCAUGGCCAAAGUCAGGACCAUAAUUUUAACCAUGGAUAUUACUAAUACUAAAAUAAAAAGAAUUAAUUUGAUCGGGGAAUAACAAAAUUGAGACAGUCUCCCAAAGGGGCAGUGAUAUCCGCACUUCAGACAAAUAGACAAACUAGCUAGAGCCUCUGACUCUGAGGGAGAGAAUAAAAAUUGCGCACUGCUUGUACAAUUAAAUGAGGAAAGUCAUUUCCCCUAAUUUGAUAGAAAUAUCAGAAAAAUACUUGCUGAUGAAGAACAUUUUCUGGAUGAUGACUUUUUGUUGUAUGAACACACUCAAAAUGUAAUUAAGUAGCCUUUGGAAUCCAAAUCGUGAUCUUCCAAGUCAUUUUCCUUAAUGACGCACAUAUAUGAGGCGACGUGUUCGUUUGGAUCUGUCGUCCCGUUAUACUUCGCAAUCUCGGGCAUAUAGAACUUCUUUGGGAUUGGCUUCGGAGCUGCACUUGGGGGAAAAGGUUUUUGGCAAACUUUUUGGAAUCAAAUCCUUUCAAUACUGGUGGUGCCUCCGGAAUUUGGUUGACCCUGAAGUUAUAAGUUUCCACUUUCUUAUCAUUUUCCUCGAUCUUCUUUUCCCUGGUCUCGGUUCGCUUCAUCAGUUCCCUGAGCAAUUUUACGAUAGUGAUCUCUUUGGCACCGAUUCGGCUCUAUAAACAACUUCUUGGGAUGGAUCGAGCUCGAUCCUGCUUGGUGCACGAUUCUGAUUUUGGAGUUGUACUAUUGCAGCUUGUUGAGUCUGCAAUAUCUCGAAUAUCAUUCGAAGGCUAAUUCUGCCUUCUUCACCGCCCUAUGCAUCUGAUCGGCUGUUCGAGCAUCUCUGCGAAUGCUAUUUUCAGAUCGACGCCCAACUUCCCGUUAAUGGCAAUAUGGGAGCUGACGUCAAUUGGGUCUACGACCGGGGGUACAUCGGGGUUGAUUGGAGAUACUCUGUUUUCGGGGGCAGCUAUGUUAUCGUUUUCACCGUGGAAACCAAGGCCAUUGUCUGCCUGUGUGGGUGCUACUUGAGAGUUUGACAUGUUGAUCCUGAAAUCAAAGACACUUACAAAAACAAGUGUAAAGCAGAGCGUGUUAUGAGAAUUAAUACCAAGCAAUCACUAUUAUCCUUAGCCCCACGAUGGGCGCAAAACUGUUUACUCUUAAAACCGGAUCACAAUUAAACUUAUAAAUGGUUUUAAGGAUAUGUGAUUUCACUUGACACAAACUGAUAAAUAUAAGAACUAAUGCUAUGAAUUAAUAAUAAAAUAAAGCAAACCAGUGUGAUGAACAAUUAUGGCCCUUGAGCUAAUUGCUCUCGAACCAACUGAACACGUUAUUGAGAGUAUGAACUCGACAAUAGAACUUGCAAAAGAUAAAAGUGUGAUAUAAUGCUUUGAUAUGCGUGAAUGUAAGAUGGUUACAAAUGAUUGAAGCUCCUUUGUAUAGUAGAGAAAUUUCACCUAUGGUACAAUUCUAAUUACAGAAGGAAAUUACAUGAUUAGCUAAACAACCUUUCUUGAUUUAAACCGUUUCGAGAUUUCCACCAUGAUACUAGGCCAAUCACGGAUAUUUCGCCUUUCCGUAUUAUGCUAUCUUCGGUCUUGCUCGAUGUCUAUUUUGUUUGGCCUGGAUCAUCACUGAUCUCGAUCUCGACAGGUACUUCGAAUCCCGAACUCAGUACCUUAUCCUCAUAUCUCGGUCUCAGAUGCUACGGGGCCGAUCCUCGAUCCAUCCCUGUCGUCGGUUAAUCAGUAAAAUCGGACGGCCCCCGUCAAGACCGUAUACAAUACUACUUAUAAAUUUUCUCCAACACUUUCUCGAAUCUUCGUUUCAGUCAUUCAAGACCAGGCAAUUCUUUAGAAUUAUUUUUGUGUCACGGUAAGCUGGGACCAGUACUCACUUUAGUCAAAUUUGACAACAAUAUUCUAAAAGAAUUGACGUAUGUGAUAGGAGUAAUAUAUAUUAUGUUCUCUGCAUGCCGAUAAUGACUUGUGGUGAUAGCAAUGACCUUAGCUGCCCAUUUCUUGGGGCCAAAGUUUGCCAAAGUGGCGUGAAAGCAAAGGAAAGGCCGGAAAGAAAUAAUAGUCUUUUCCCUUUUGUUUUCUGGUGACGUGGAGAUGGAGCUAGUUGACGGCAAAGUUACAGUGUAUCAAGGGGUUCAAUUGAAUUUUUUUGGAAGAAAAUUACAUUACUUUUACGUAAGAAAAAAAUUCUUAAGUAUACAUUCAAAUUGUUGAAUUCCAUCGAAACAUGAGAAACUUUUAGUGUAAUGAUAAAUUACUUUAGGUUGUUGGUUUGAAUCUCAAGUCACACUCCAUCAGUUUCUGAAUCUCCUGGUUAGUGGCUAUGUCCAAAGUCAGGACCAAAAUUUUAACCAUGGAUAUUACUUAAUACUAAAAUGAAGAGAAUUAAUUUGAUCGGGGAAUAACAAAAUCGAGGCAGUCUCCCAAAGGGGCAGUGAGGGAGAGAAUAAAAAUUGCGCACUGUUUGUACAAUUAAAUGAGGAAAGUCAUUUCCCCUAAUUUGAUAGAAAUAUCCGAAAAAUACUUGCUCAUGAAGAACAUUUUCUGGAUGAUGAUUUUUUGUUGUAUAAACACACUGAAAAUGUAAUUAAGUAGCCUUUGGAAUCCAAAUGGGCAUAAGCCUUAUUAUACAAUACAGAGGAAAGACAUUCAGUACAAUUAAUGAGUGAGUGAGUACACACAACAUACAGAGAUCAACAUUAAAAAAGCUCAAUUGGCCGGAGAUUUGAAGACCAUUUCUUUGAGAAAAUGAAGAAAUGAAACAACCUUGUCAUGAGGUGGAGUGAUUUCUUUAACUAUAGGCAGCUCAAUUAAACUACUCAACCCUGAGCAUAACAAAGGUGUUUUGUCUGGAUCCAAUAUCUUCACACCAAACACUUGCUCUUGUACUUUGUAUGCCCCUAGUGUUAUAAUGAUCAUGAUAUCUAGCAACCCCAUAUUCCUUCCUUCUAUAUUAGUGUUGAUACCCAGGGAGGAAUUCUUGAUUCCAUCUUCCAGCACGUUCAGUUUCUCAUAAAAUUCCUCUAAUGCUUUUUCUUCCCCUUUGAAGACCUUGAGCAUGCAUUCAGUCACCUACGCAUAAGAGUGUCAAUGGUCAAUAAAAAUCAAUUGAAUCAAUGGAAAUGAGCCUUAUCCAACUAAUUAUUUAGUAGUUCUUUUAAAGUAAAAUCAUAAGUUUCAGUUUAUAUAUAUAUAUAUAUACCAAAUAAUUAGGAUAAGUUUUUAAUUUUAUGACAGAAAUCGAUCCAUAAUAUAUAUCUUAAUUAAGUAAUUAUUCAACCAAAUAUUUGUGUUGAUAUAGAGGGUUUAAGUGUUAGAUUUUAAAAUAUAGGGUGUGUACGUAUGUGCAGUUAAGUCAUAUUAGAGAAGUAUUUAGUGUAAUUUGUCCUUUUUUGUUUUGGUAAUAAAGGUAAAUAUUAUACAUAACUAAGCAUGCGUACAGAGUGACUGGUACGUAAUUUGUCAUUUUCUUACCUCAACCCCGUUCCUUUAUUUUACCUUAGGAUAGACUAAAUAGGCAAAACUAAUACACAGUAUACACAUCAUCCAUGAAUGAAUUUUUUUGAACAAUGUGAAAAUGGCUAGAAAGAAAGAAUGAAUUUUGUGACAUGAAUUACCUGUUGGAUGUAAGAAGCCCAGAACCGGACUCUGGAUCUUUCAUAAGGAUCUUCAGGCAAGAGUCGAGGUUCAUUCUUCCAUGUUUCAUCAAUGUAUUCAAUAAUGACAAAUGACUCCGAUACUGGCUUUCCAUUAUGGACAAGUACUGGUACUUUCUUAUGAAUGGGAUUGUAUUUGAGGAGCAAUAUACUUUUGUUGCUCAAAUCUUCUUCUAUAUACUCAAAAGGUAUGCCUUUGACUUUGAGAGCCAAUUCUACUCUCUUCACAUAAGGGCUAGCCCACAUUCCAUGUAGAAUGACCUUAUUUUCCUCUCCCAUUUUGGUCUCUCAGAUUGUUUCAGAAUGGAGAUGCUUAUGUUUAAAGUCGUCAUAUAUAAAUUCUUUACAUCUUUUUGGCUUACCACUUGGCCACAAUUG
rnacentral:lncRNA from 1 species